CACACACACACCUCUCGUUGUGGGGAAGUAAGGUUAUACAGAGUUAAGAGAGGCUGCGAUUCAACCAGAGGAGCUUGUUAUAUGAGCAGAAAAGUUUCAGAACAUCAAACUGUCUCACAGACUUACAGUGUUGGCAGGAGAGGAGGACUUGCGGGCUCCAUCAGGAGUGUACCAUAUUUCCUGAUAUCCACGGGCCAACAGCUGCCUGGUGAAUGACGGCACAAACUCAGGGACAAUUUGCAAGACAAUAUAUGUAGUAUAGUCAGACAUCAAAUCUCCUGAAACAGCAACAAUAUGGCAGCAAUGACAGACGUGUCUCCGCACGAGGUCAACGGAGGACAGACCGAAAACACAGAAUGGGAAUCUCCGUUUGAGCCGGGACAGAGGGGAAACAUGGGUGAGAGACGGGGUGAGGAGGCAAACCUCAGACUGUAUGAAAAGGUCAACAAACAGAACCAGCAAGCGCUUUCUUUGAAUGCUGCAAAACUGUGUCACAAGGGGAUGUGCAGAUAUGAUUAAGUGGGGAUGGGGGCCGAACAUUUUUGGGUCAUUUUUUCCAAGAUUUUAAAUGGAUCCUCUCUGAUAUGACAGUGCCAAGUUGGUACCAUCAAUUAAGAAAAAAAAAAUACAUAUAUUCAUAAUACUUAAGGUGUAUAUAGAAUUUGAGGUGUUCCUUGUUUUAAUUUAAAAAAAAAUGUCAGGUGACCUUUAUUCUCAUUGAAUUAAGUGUUGUAAUUCGAUCUUUAUUGGUGCUUAUGUUAUACUUAAAAACACUUUCACUUAACUACUGUUUUUUAACGUUAUUGUAUUCAGCACAUCGUAUCUUUGUUGAGAAAGCUUAUUACUAUUUGAAACUAUUUGUACGUUUGCGGAAGAAUCAUUUUUAUGGUGCACAUGGAAUAAUUUAACUGAAAACAACAAAGAAAUACACACCCCUCCCUCUCCACUCCGAAUAAUGUGUGUACAGUGUUUAAGUGAAUCGUGCCAUGCAUGAAGACUAAAGAGUGUUUAGUAUUUAUGUGA